UACGUAGGGUCCGAGCGUUGUCCGGAAUUACUGGGCGUAAAGAGCUCGUAGGUGGUUUGUCGCGUUGUUCGUGAAAACUCACAGCUUAACUGUGGGCGUGCGGGCGAUACGGGCAGACUUGAGUACUGCAGGGGAGACUGGAAUUCCUGGUGUAGCGGUGGAAUGCGCAGAUAUCAGGAGGAACACCGGUGGCGAAGGCGGGGUCUCCUGGGCAGUAAACUGACGCUGGAGGAGCGGAAAGCGUGG
rnacentral:rRNA from 1 species